rnacentral:rRNA from 1 species
AGGGUUCGAUUCUGGCUCAGGAUGAACGCUGGCGGCGUGCUUAACACAUGCAAGUCGAACGGAGUUUUAAGCGGAAGUUUUCGGAUGGAAGUUUAAGAACUUAGUGGCGGACGGGUGAGUAACGCGUGGGUAACCUGCCUCAUACAGGGGGAUAACAGUUAGAGAUGACUGCUAAGACCGCAUAAUAUAGCGAAACCGCAUGAUUUUGCUAUCAAAUAUUUAUAGGUAUGAGAUGGGCCCGCGUCUGAUUAGCUAGUUGGUGGGGUAAAAGCCUACCAAGGCGACGAUCAGUAGCCGGCUUGAGAGAGUGACCGGCCACAUUGGGACUGAGACACGGCCCAAACUCCUACGGGAGGCAGCAGUGGGGAAUAUUGGACAAUGGGGGAAACCCUGAUCCAGCGACGCCCGCGUGAGUGAAGAAGUAUUUCGGUAUGUAAAGCUCUAUCAGCAGGGAAGAUAAUGACAGUACCUGACUAAGAAGCCCCGGCUAACUACGUGCCAGCAGCUGC